GCGGGUGUGGCGGAACUGGUAGACGCACUGGAUUUAGGUUCCAGCGCCGCAAGGCGUGGAGGUUCGAGUCCUCUCGCCCGCACCA
rnacentral:tRNA from 6 species